rnacentral:rRNA from 1 species
GACGAACGCUGGCGGCGUGCCUAACACAUGCAAGUCGAGCGAUGCGAUCCUUCGGGAUCAAUUAGCGGCGGACGGGUGAGUAACACGUGGGUAACCUGCCUCAAAGAGGGGAAUAGCCUCCCGAAAGGGAGAUUAAUACCGCAUAAUAUGUUUUGAUCGCAUGAUCUUAACAUCAAAGGAAUAAUCUUCGGAUUAUUUCACUUUGAGAUGGACCCGCGGCGCAUUAGCUAGUUGGUGAGGUAAAGGCCCACCAAGGCAACGAUGCGUAGCCGACCUGAGAGGGUGAUCGGCCACAUUGGAACUGAGACACGGUCCAGACUCCUACGGGAGGCAGCAGUGGGGAAUAUUGCGCAAUGGGGGAAACCCUGACGCAGCAACGCCGCGUGAAUGAUGAAGGCCUUCGGGUUGUAAAGUUCUGUCUUCUGGGACGAUAAUGACGGUACCAG